GAUUAACGCUGGCGGCGUGCCUAACACAUGCAAGUCGAACGAGGUAGCAAUACCUAGUGGCAGACGGGUGAGUAACGCGUGGUCAACCUACCGUUGAGUGGGGGAUAACUAGCCGAAAGGUUAGCUAAUACCGCAUACGUCUCCGAGGGGCAUCCCUUGGCGAUAAAAGGAGCAAUCCGCUCGAUGACGGGACCGCGCCCCAUUAGCUAGAUGGUGGGGUAACGGCCUACCAUGGCUCCGAUGGGUAGCUGGUUUGAGAGAGCGACCAGCCACACUGGGACUGAGAAACGGCCCAGACUCCUACGGGAGGCAGCAGUGAGGAAUUUUCCGCAAUGGGCGCAAGCCUGACGGGGCGACGCCGCGUGUGGGAAGAAGGCCUUAGGGUCGUAAACCACUGUCGAAGGGGACGAUAANGACGGUACCCUUGGAGGAAGCCCCGGCUAACUACGU
rnacentral:rRNA from 1 species